rnacentral:rRNA from 1 species
GUUUGAUCAUGGCUCAGAUUGAACGCUGGCGGCAGGCUUAACACAUGCAAGUCGAGCGGGGGAAGGUAGCUUGCUACUGGACCUAGCGGCGGACGGGUGAGUAAUGCUUAGGAAUCUGCCUAUUAGUGGGGGACAACAUCUCGAAAGGGAUGCUAAUACCGCAUACGUCCUACGGGAGAAAGCAGGGGAUCUUCGGACCUUGCGCUAAUAGAUGAGCCUAAGUCGGAUUAGCUAGUUGGUGGGGUAAAGGCCUACCAAGGCGACGAUCUGUAGCGGGUCUGAGAGGAUGAUCCGCCACACUGGGACUGAGACACGGCCCAGACUCCUACGGGAGGCAGCAGUGGGGAAUAUUGGACAAUGGGGGGAACCCUGAUCCAGCCAUGCCGCGUGUGUGAAGAAGGCCUUAUGGUUGUAAAGCACUUUAAGCGAGGAGGAGGCUACUUUAGUUAAUACCUAGAGAUAGUGGACGUUACUCGCAGAAUAAGCACCGGCUAACUCUGUGCCAGCAGCCGCGGUAAUACAGAGGGUGCGAGCGUUAAUCGGAUUUACUGGGCGUAAAGCGUGCGUAGGCGGCUUAUUAAGUCGGAUGUGAAAUCCCCGAGCUUAACUUGGGAAUUGCAUUCGAUACUGGUGAGCUAGAGUAUGGGAGAGGAUGGUAGAAUUCCAGGUGUAGCGGUGAAAUGCGUAGAGAUCUGGAGGAAUACCGAUGGCGAAGGCAGCCAUCUGGCCUAAUACUGACGCUGAGGUACGAAAGCAUGGGGAGCAAACAGGAUUAGAUACCCUGGUAGUCCAUGCCGUAAACGAUGUCUACUAGCCGUUGGGGCCUUUGAGGCUUUAGUGGCGCAGCUAACGCGAUAAGUAGACCGCCUGGGGAGUACGGUCGCAAGACUAAAACUCAAAUGAAUUGACGGGGGCCCGCACAAGCGGUGGAGCAUGUGGUUUAAUUCGAUGCAACGCGAAGAACCUUACCUGGCCUUGACAUACUAGAAACUUUCCAGAGAUGGAUUGGUGCCUUCGGGAAUCUAGAUACAGGUGCUGCAUGGCUGUCGUCAGCUCGUGUCGUGAGAUGUUGGGUUAAGUCCCGCAACGAGCGCAACCCUUUUCCUUACUUGCCAGCAUUUCGGAUGGGAACUUUAAGGAUACUGCCAGUG